rnacentral:rRNA from 1 species
GACGAACGCUGGCGGCGUGCCUAAUACAUGCAAGUAGAACGCUGAAGCUUGGUGCUUGCACCGAGCGGAUGAGUUGCGAACGGGUGAGUAACGCGUAGGUAACCUGCCUGGUAGCGGGGGAUAACUAUUGGAAACGAUAGCUAAUACCGCAUGAUAUUGAAUAUUGCAUGAUAGUCAAUUAAAAGGUGCAAUUGCAUCACUACCAGAUGGACCUGCGUUGUAUUAGCUAGUUGGUGAGGUAACGGCUCACCAAGGCAACGAUACAUAGCCGACCUGAGAGGGUGAUCGGCCACACUGGGACUGAGACACGGCCCAGACUCCUACGGGAGGCAGCAGUAGGGAAUCUUCGGCAAUGGACGGAAGUCUGACCGAGCAACGCCGCGUGAGUGAAGAAGGUUUUCGGAUCGUAAAGCUCUGUUGUAAGAGAAGAACGAGUGUGAGAGUGGAGAGUUCACACU